rnacentral:lncRNA from 1 species
CUGGGCGCACAGGACUGUACUUGGCAGCGGUGCGAGGCCGCCCGCGGACUUUAGCCCUGCACAGAGAUGGGUAGACCCUAAUUUGGAACAGCCAUUGACUGGGCACAGGCCAGCACUUUGGGAGGCCGAGAGGCCGAGGCAGGAGGAUCGCUCGAGGCCAGGAGUGCCAGACUGCGAGACUAGCCUGGGUAACAAACACAGUGAGACCCUCUCUUCAAAAAAAAAAAAAAAAAAGCCUGUCACGGUGGCCUGCGCCUGUACCCCAGCUACUCGAGAGGAUCGCCUGAGCCCAGUGAAGCUGCAGCGAGCUGUGAGGAUGCCACUGCACUCCGGCCUGGGCUAAAAAGCUAGAUCGUGUCUCUGAUAAAAGAAUAAAAGCUGUUUAUUGCAAUCC